ACGAACGCUGGCGGCGUGCCUCAUACAUGCAAGUAGAACGCACAGUUUAUACCGUAGCUUGCUACACCAUAGACUGUGAGUUGCGAACGGGUGAGUAACGCGUAGGUAACCUGCCUGGUAGCGGGGGAUAACUAUUGGAAACGAUAGCUAAUACCGCAUAAUAUUAAUUAUUGCAUGAUAAUUAAUUGAAAGGUGCAAUUGCACCACUACCAGAUGGACCUGCGUUGUAUUAGCUAGUAGGUGAGGUAACGGCUCACCUAGGCGACGAUACAUAGCCGACCUGAGAGGGUGAUCGGCCACACUGGGACUGAGACACGGCCCAGACUCCUACGGGAGGCAGCAGUAGGGAAUCUUCGGCAAUGGACGAAAGUCUGACCGAGCAACGCCGCGUGAGUGAAGAAGGGUUUCGGAUCGUAAAGCUCUGUUGUAAGAGAAGAACGGGUGUGAGAGUGGAAAGUUCACACUGUGACGGUAUCUUACCAGAAAGGGACGGCUAACUACGUG
rnacentral:rRNA from 1 species